CUGGAGCGCCCGCCCCCUGUGCCGCCCAGUCGCUCCUAUACAGUCACUGGAAACACUAAACUUGGUUACCCUCAAACCAGGGUGAUGAAGAUGCCCUAUCCAGAGGACGCGUCAGGCGAUGGCCCUGUUUUCUGCAAGGGGGAAACCGUCCUGGUGGUUGGGGCGUCCCAGAGAAGAGGCCACCUCAUAGUGGAGCACAAAAACCACACGCUGCACGUUCCUUUCCAGUUCAUGGAGCUCAAACCGACUUUAAACAUUUAAGAGGCGCUUGUAUAUACUUCUGCAAAUGGUGCUAGUUAAGUCGCAGUUACUCACCUUCCAUUAAUUAUUUAGCGCAACCUGCCGACUAGCUGCGGAAAAAUUACAUGCAGUGUGUGGUUUUAGUGUUCAAACGCGGGCGCUGAAAGCAUCGAAUUGUCUCCACGAAAUUUACCCGAUAGUGUUCUUUCACCGUUCCGAAACUUGCCAUUUCUCGACCACGAUCUUGUAUAAUGUUGUAGAAUUAUUUAUGGAUAUAUUUAAAAGCGUACUUGUAGCAAUAGCUUAUUACACACGUUAUGCAUU
rnacentral:lncRNA from 1 species